AUUGAACGCUGGCGGCAUGCUUUACACAUGCAAGUCGAACGGUAACAGGCCGCAAGGUGCUGACGAGUGGCGAACGGGUGAGUAAUGCAUCGGAACGUGCCCAGUCGUGGGGGAUAACUACUCGAAAGAGUAGCUAAUACCGCGUACGAUCUAUGGAUGAAAGCGGGGGACCGUAAGGCCUCGCGCGAUUGGAGCGGCCGAUGUCAGAUUAGGUAGUUGGUGGGGUAAAGGCUCACCAAGCCAACGAUCUGUAGCUGGUCUGAGAGGACGACCAGCCACACUGGGACUGAGACACGGCCCAGACUCCUACGGGAGGCAGCAGUGGGGAAUUUUGGACAAUGGGCGCAAGCCUGAUCCAGCAAUGCCGCGUGCAGGAAGAAGGCCUUCGGGUUGUAAACUGCUUUUGUACGGAACGAAACGGCUCUGGUUAAUACCCGGGGCUAAUGACGGUACCGUAAGAAUAAGCACCGGCUAACUACGUG
rnacentral:rRNA from 1 species